GACUCUAUAGCUCAGUUGGUAGAGCAGCGGGCCUUUAACCCGCGGGCCGCAGGUUCGAGUCCUGCUGGAGUCA
rnacentral:tRNA from 1 species